rnacentral:ncRNA from 1 species
AACGACCGGCCGGACACCUGUGUGCCCGGCCCACAAGUGGAGGCUCCGAUCUCCCACCUGGCUGUCCUCACGGACGGCGGGUCACCGGUCAGGCGGUCCCCAUCGUUCCGUACGGACGAUGGAGCACCGCUCGAUGAUGCGCCCCGCGGUUGAUGCGCGGUGGUGCUCCGGUAUAUCCAGGAGCCCCGCCUGUGUUCCCGUCCGGGGCAUUUUUC